rnacentral:rRNA from 1 species
AUCUAUGGCCAUACCACCCUGAACACGCCCAAUCUCUUCCGAUCUCAGAAACUAAGCAGGGUCAGACCUAGUUAGUACUUGGAUGGGAGAUACCAUCUCACCCCAGAAAUAAUGGCUAUCAUGGAGA